UACCCUCUCAUUCCAUCCCAUCAACCCCACAAUCAACACCAUUCUCCACCGUUUCUAAACUGCCAAAAACCCUAGCCGUCGCUCUAACCCCCGAUUUUCACCCUUUCUCACUGCAAAAAGCAUCGUAGGUCGCCGAUUCACAGGUUUGAAGUACCGAUUUCUAGUUUCGCGCGCGACAAUUGAUUGUCUGAAGUUCCGAUUUUCGUUUUUGAAGGAAUUGAACUGAUUUCGUUGCUGUGUACUACAAAACAUCAAUGACGAAGUGAGGAAGACCAUUCAAGAGUCAACCAACACAGUCAAAAGCAAUUAAGCAACGUCUCGUUGAUUUCGAUGAAGCAGUAGAUGAUGUAAUUCCAAUUGCAUUAGCACAGAAGCUUCGGCACAGAUUAGCCGAGGACAAACCAGAUUAGCCGACUUGUUGGCUUGCUCGUUUUGGAACAAUAUUAAGUGUUAUGAAGUGAUGUGAAUCAAAUGAUACAAAUUAUACUCCAAGUUUUCUCCUAUUUUGUAUAUUUAAAUCAUCUAUAAAUUGAUCAUUAAGGUUUGAUUAUUAUAUAUUAGUUGAUAGAUGUACAUGUGGAGUGACUACAAUGAGCCAAAGCGGUGGGGUCU